UUUAAAGAAAGCGUAACAGCUCACUGGUCUAAAUAAGGGUCUUUGCGCCGAAAAUGUAACGGGGCUAAAGCCAUGCACCGAAGCUGAGAAUGUGCACGCAAGUGUACGUGGUAGCGGAGCGUUCCGUAAGCCUGUGAAGGAGGACCCGUGAGGGCCUCUGGAGGUAUCGGAAGUGCGAAUGUUGACAUGAGUAACGAUAAAGGGGGUGAGAGACCCCCUCGCCGAAAGUCCAAGGGUUCCUGCUUAAAGCUAAUCUGAGCAGGGUAAGCCGGCCCCUAAGACGAGCCCGAAGGGGGUAGUCGAUGGGAACCACGUUAAUAUUCGUGGGCCUGGUGGUGU
rnacentral:rRNA from 15 species